UUCUUAAAUAGGAGCUUGUCAGAAUAACAUUAAAAAAAUUACACGAUUAUUGGUUACAAUCUAACAAUUAUUGUUAGAUAUACAUCCAUAUUCUUCACAAGAGAACACAAUAAAUUUGAAUUUACCGAUUGGAACGCCUGAGGCACUAGAAGAAUUUAAUAAAUUGAUAACACAAGACUCCGUAUCUUUAUCACAAUAUAAAAGGAUAAUUAGAAUUAUAGGAGGAAAAGAUGCGGAACAACAUGUAAGAGAGAGAGAGAGAGAAACGCAUUAAAACUUACUCUAACUGAUCAUCUAGCUUACAAACUCUCAUGGACCGGACAAAAAAUACUAUACAAACGAGAGACAUGAAAUUUGUUGACGUCAUUAUCGAAGUAAACAUUAGUAUUAGUGGAAAGAGUAUUUCUUCCCAUUCCAUCCAAACUGUAAUUAAAAACUGGCUACAGCAUGCUGAAGAUAGGAUAAAUCAAAAUACAAAACGACAUGAAAAGAAGAAAUAAAA